AUGUCGGAGAGCGAGGUGUCUGACUCUGAUGAGGACGAGGACCAUGUGGAGGGAGGCGAAUCGGGCUCUACCAUCUCCAAGCGGCAGAUCUCCAAGCUGUGUGAGGACAUGGAGGUUACGUUGUCUUACCUGAGACGGGACAUCGAACCAGCAGCCCCGCUGAGGGAGACGGCGGAAGACGACGCCGAUGAGGCGCUCCCGCCGACGAUCCAUGCCAUCUUAGAGCAGUUCAAGGAUCUGCGCCGUCACAUGUCCAAGCUCAGAUUGCAGCUGCAACCUUUCAAGGAGAGGCAUGACGAGAAGCAGGCUAAGGAGGAUUCGUAUGAGGGUCUGGACGAUGAAGAGAAGGUCAGGAAGAAGAUAGACAAGGAAGAGAUGUUCUUCGAUAUCUACCGCCGAAGCACCGAGUCCUCGUGCCGCCGUGUUGUCUUCGAGCAACAGACCACAUUGAGCCCUAUGUACUUCACGCAUUGGACACCCGGACAGAUCCUACCCAACUAUGCUGAGACAGAAGGGAUUAGCCUGCAGGUCUACUCCUUCAAGAUCACAAAGAUCAAGGGCAAUCAGUGUUGGCCGCUCCAAGUGUACGGCGUCGUUGCCGCGCGAGACAACUCUGACCGCAAGCGCAACAUCAUCUUCAAUCGGCUGAGGCAUGACUGCCAGGAGAUCUUCUUAGAUGACCCCUUCUUGCGCUUGACCGGCCCGUCUCGGGCAAUUAUGGCGCUGAGCCCAGUUAACUUUGAAGUUCAGCUGAAACUUAAGGGCGCAACAGAGUCUGGGGACAGGGCGUUGAUGAAUCUUACAGAACAUUACGUCCGUGGUAUUUCAAAUACAAUUACGUUCAGCAACUGCCUUUGCAAAGCAGAGUUAAGAGUGGAGGAACUUUCUAGUUCGGUUCAAGCCACUUUCUUGGGUGUCCGCGUCGUCAGAUACGGUCCAUGCCCUUUUGAAUAUGGAGGCCGGAUUGCUUGCUCCUCACCACCUCGUGAAGUUGUGCGAAUGGAUGAUAAAGGCAUUCCACACUUUGUUGUUGAUUCAUGCUUCCAAGUUGUGUUGCUCGAUUCUCGUCACUGUGUGCGUGGGAAAAUGCCAAUUGGCGAAGAUGGUUGCCUUGAUCUGUCAAGACGCUUUGUUUCUGUUAAACUGCAGAAAGAGAACAACCAAGAAUUCAAAGAAUGCCUGGCAGUUGUUUUUGAAGCCUACUCAGAGUCUGGUGAUAUUGCUGCGCAAACUCAUGUCAGAAUCAAGCCCAGGACUUGCAACAUAAGCCAGCACACUUGCGACCUUGGUGGCUCUAAGGUGGAAAUUACCAUUGCUUGGUCAGCUAUUGUCAGGACCGAUCUUAUUUGA
rnacentral:rRNA from 1 species